AUUCCGGUAGCGCAGCGCCAACUCUCGGGAGUAAAACUUGCGAGUUGUAACGUAUUAUAACGUAGCUUCAGCCGGAAGCAUUCACACGUUUCAGGCACAUCCUCCGAGUAGCAUUACCGACAAAGCCCAGCGAUGGUAGUAAAAGAUGGGCGCAUUCCGGUUCGCGAUAAGUAGAAACGGCGAGCAAUGAACUGUCUCAACAACCAAGGCUUAUUUAAUACUAGAAGUACCGAGCAUUUAAUACGACUGACAAACACAAGCAGAAGGAAGUUAUAUAUGAAAAAUUAGGUCAAGUCAGUUCCUUCGUUGUUGAGGAAAUACAAUUUUAAAAUUCGUUCAAUAGGAGAGGGUUAUAAUCGUGAAGUAGAAAGCAUCAGUCAUGGACAGACACGUUGGUGGAUUCUUAUUGGAGUAUACGUGUACUCGAUAAAGUUCAAAUUCGAUUUAACAAUUCAAGUAAAUCCAUCAAACAGAUGUAAAAUAGGCUUUUGUAGGAUUGUAUCAUCUCACAGCUUUUCCCAUAGUCUAUCAAAGAAACUGUAGUAACUGUAGUAAUUUUAUAAGUUAUUUUAAAAUAUUCUAUUAUUCUCCUUUAAAAUAAAAUCAUCAUUUUUAUAUGCAAAUUAGAUACAAAUCUCUCCACAGUGUACUUUUUAUUUUAUAUAAUUUUCAAAGUAAAUUAAUAAUUUCACUCAAAAUUUAGAAAAAAUAAGAAAAUGAAUAAGAAAUAGAAAAACGUUCAUCAAUUGAGUACGUUAUAUAAAAUAGAUAUUUCCUCGACGAACAAACAUCAAACAAUGACAAAUCACAUAAUCCAAAACAAAAUUGAAAAAGUACUUUAAUCUCCAUUAACACUAAAACUACUAAACGGGACAAAAUGACCCAUUCCCUGAUCUUCUUCUUUUUGUAAUUACUAA